UGCUUGUUCACUGUGCGGCA
rnacentral:miRNA from 1 species